GAAAUGCGAUAAGUAGUGUGAAUUGCAGAAUUCAGUGAAUCAUCGAAUCUUUGAACGCACAUUGCGCCCCUUGGUAUUCCAUGGGGCAUGCCUGUUCGAGCGUCAUUUGUACCCUCAAGCUCUGCUUGGUGUUGGGUGUUUGUCCCGUCUCCGCGCGUGGACUCGCCCCAAAGUGAUUGGCAGCCGGCGUACUGGUCCCGGAGCGCAUCACAUGUCGCGCAAACGAGUGCCUUGGUACGGCGGCGUCCAUAAGCCCCUCUCUCACGCUCUUGACCUCGGAUCAGGUAGGGAUACCCGCUGAACUUAAGC
rnacentral:misc_RNA from 1 species